ACGCUCGACACCUACAGGAGGCAGCAGUGGGGAAUAUUGCACAAUGGGGGAAACCCUGAUGCAGCAACGCCGCGUGAGUGAAGAAGUAUUUCGGUAUGUAAAGCUCUAUCAGCAGGGAAGAUAAUGACGGUACCUGACUAAGAAGCUCCGGCUAAAUACGUGCCAGCAGCCGCGGUAAUCUGAGCGGGCUGGCAAGGC
rnacentral:rRNA from 1 species